CCCUUAGAUGUUCUGGGCCGCACGCGUGCUACACUGAGUGGAUCAGCGGGUCAGGUUGCGCGCAAGCGUUUCCUAAUCUUUAAAUCCGCUCGUGAUGGGGAUUGACGGUUGCAAUUUUCUGUCAUGAACGAGGAAUACCUUGUAAGCGCGGGUCAUCAUCCCGCGCUGAAUACGUCCCUGCCCUUUGUACACACCGCCCGUCGCUCCUACCGAUUGAGUGGUCCGGUGAGGCUUUGGGAUCUGAGCGGAAAGAGCGUUUCGCUGUUUCUGCUCGGAAAACUCAGUCGAACCUUAUCAUUUAGAGGAAGGAGAAGUCGUAACA
rnacentral:rRNA from 1 species